rnacentral:rRNA from 1 species
AAUCAACGCUGGCGGCGUGCCUCAGACAUGCAAGUCGAACGAUUAAAGCUCUCUUCGGAGAGUGCAUAGAGUGGCGCACGGGUGAGUAACACGUAAGUAAUCUACCUUCGAGUGAGGAAUAACGUCCGGAAACAGACGCUAAUACCGCAUAAUGCAGCGGCAUCGCAAGAUGACAGUUGUUAAAGAUUUAUCGCUUGAAGAGGAGCUUGCGGCAGAUUAGCUAGUUGGUAAGGUAAUGGCUUACCAAGGCUACGAUCUGUAACCGGUCUUAGAGGACGGUCGGUCACACUGACACUGAAUAACGGGGCAGACUCCUACGGGAGGCAGCAGUCGGGAAUUUUGGGCAAUGGGCGAAAGCCUGACCCAGCAACGCCGCGUGAAGGAUGAAGUAUUUCGGUAUGUAAACUUCGAAAGAAUGGGAAGAAUAAAUGACGGUACCAUUUAUAAGGUCCGGCUAACUACGUGCCAGCAGCCGCCGUAACAC